CCUACGGGAGGCAGCAGUGGGGAAUAUUGGACAAUGGGGGCAACCCUGAUCCAGCCAUGCCGCGUGUGUGAAGAAGGCCCUCGGGUUGUAAAGCACUUUCAGUGAGGAAGAACGCCUGGUGGUUAAUACCCAUCAGGAAAGACAUCACUCACAGAAGAAGCACCGGCUAACUCCGUGCCAGCAGCCGCGGUAAUACGGAGGGUGCGAGCGUUAAUCGGCAUUACUGGGCGUAAAGCGCGCGUAGGUGGCUUGAUAAGCCGGUUGUGAAAGCCCCGGGCUCAACCUGGGAACGGCAUCCGGAACUGUCAAGCUAGAGUGCAGGAGAGGAAGGUAGAAUUCCCGGUGUAGCGGUGAAAUGCGUAGAGAUCGGGAGGAAUACCAGUGGCGAAGGCGGCCUUCUGGACUGACACUGACACUGAGGUGCGAAAGCGUGGGUAGCAAACAGGAUUAGAUACCCGUGUAGUC
rnacentral:rRNA from 1 species